rnacentral:rRNA from 1 species
GAUCAUGGCUCAGAUUGAACGCUGGCGGCAUGCCUUACACAUGCAAGUCGAACGGUAACAGGGGGCUUGCUCCGCUGACGAGUGGCGAACGGGUGAGUAAUGUAUCGGAACGUACCAUUCAGUGGGGGAUAACGUAGCGAAAGUUACGCUAAUACCGCAUACGACCUGUGGGUGAAAGCGGGGGAUCGCAAGACCUCGCGCUAUUGGAGCGGCCGAUAUCAGAUUAGCUAGUUGGUGGGGUAAAGGCCUACCAAGGCGACGAUCUGUAGCUGGUCUGAGAGGACGACCAGCCACACUGGGACUGAGACGCGGCCCCAGACUCCUACGGGAGGCAGCAGUGGGGAAUUUUGGACAAUGGGCGCAAGCCUGAUCCAGCCAUGCCGCGUGUGGGAAGAAGGCCUUCGGGUUGUAGACCACUUUUGUCAGGGAAGAAACGGCUUUCAAUAAUACUGAGGGCUAAUGACGGUACCUGAAGAAUAAGCACCGGCUAACUACGUG